GUCAAUUAGUCCUGUUAAAAAAUUGUACAUUGGUCAAAAUGCAGUAUAAUCUUAAAAUUUGUAAUUAUUAUCAACAUAAAAAUGAAAUUCUUAAAUACGAUUGAAUUACAGUUGAAGGAGGUUAAGGAUACCAAUAUCAUUCUACAGAUCAAGUAAGGACUCGUAUUUGAUAAAUCAUCAAAACAUGGUGUUUGUUAGAUAAUACUGAAACGUAGACCCUGUCUGUGCUGAAAAUCAAGAAUAAUGGAGUAACUCUAAACAUCAUGUGUGAUUGGGCUUUGAUUGAAGCCUUUGCUGUUAACUCCAGAAAGUAGUUAAUGGGUUUUGUCUACUGAACAACAGGGAAGCAACUUUGGACAUCAUGUGUAGUUAGGCUUUGAUUGAAGCCUUUGCUGUUUCACUACAGAAAGAAGUCAGUGGGUUUUGUCUACUGAACACAACUACAA